AAGAAUAUACUUUCAGGAAUGUCUUCGAUGUGUUGUUUCUAGAGAAGUUUUUGUGAUUGAGCGCAGUACCCGAAACUACGAGGAAGAGGCGCAGCGUUCUUUCUGAGCGUGAAGUUGGCUCUGGGUGUUGUUCUUACAGCUACCCUUUGUCGCUGAUGACCGUUUUUAUUUCUCUUCGGGAGCAAUUAGAGGGAAGGGACUCCUUGUGAGUAGU
ensembl:snoRNA U3 Small nucleolar RNA U3